rnacentral:rRNA from 1 species
AAUGAACGCUGGCGGCAGGCCUAAAACAUGCAAGUCGAACGCUCUAGCAAUAGAGAGUGGCGCACGGGUGCGUAACACGUGGGAAUAUGCCUUUUGGUACGGAACAACGUUUGGAGACGAACGCUAAUACCGUAUGGUCCCUUCGGGGUAAAGAUUUAUCGCCAAAAGAUUAGCCCGCGCUGGAUUAGCUAGUUGGUGAGGUAAUGGCUCACCAAGGCGACGAUCCAUAGCUGGUCUGAGAGGACGAUCAGCCACACUGGGACUGAGACACGGCCCAGACUCCUACGGGAGGCAGAAGUUAGGAAUAUUGGACAAUGGGCGCAAGCCUGAUCCAGCCAUGCCGCGUGAGUGAUGAAGGCCUUCGGGUUGUAAAGCUCUUUAGCCGAUGAUUAUAAUGACUGUAGUCGGAGAAUAAGCCCCGGCUAACUUCGUGCCAGCCGCCGCGGUAA